CAACCUGAGAAAAACCUGCCCACAGAACAAGUGAUCUGUUUGUGAAAAUGUACAUUUGAGAAAGGGUGUCACUGAGAAGAGGCUGUGGAUUGACCUUGCUAGGAUAAAGGAUUUUAAAGCAGCAACAGAUAUAGUGGAAGUAACCUUCCAGGAAUCCUUAGAUUCUGACAAGUCCUAGAGAAUUGGAAAUCUGUCGAUGUGACAUCUUCAUUCGGAAAGGGAAGGAGACAAAAAUCAGGUACAGGAGUCGUCCCUCUGGAUUGGAAAAUUGAACAUCACUCUGCCUUUUUAGAAUUUUGAAAGUGGAAAACUCGGGAAUUACAGAUCUGUCUGUGGCGGGGAAAUUUCUGGAGCCUAUAAUCAAGGAUGGGAUAACUGAACAACUUGCAAAUUUCAGUUAAUCGAGGAGAGCCAGCAUGGAUUC